AGGAUCAAAUCAACAAUUACAGAGGGAGGGAAAAACACAAGGACAGGAAGUAAAACAAAACAAGACAUGACACAAGGGGAAGUGAACAUUUAAGAAAUAAAACAGAGUAGAAAAUCAAGAUCAUGACACUAAUACGUGACACCCCUGCGUCUUCCACGUGGUCACAGUUGUGUUGCUCCCAGAUGUUAUGAGGACACUCCUCCAGGGAGAGUUCAUUGCCUGAACACUGAACCCCAUCCAGGAAGAUGGGACCAACACCUUGGCCGAAGUGGGCCCAUGUCCACGCCUUGGCCACACCCCUGUUGGCCCAGUUGUCGGCACACCACCUCAGCAUCAAUGUCAUCCCACCGGUCAUCGCAAAUCGUUCCCCACUUGCCAUCACGGUACACCUCGACGCGGCCCUCAAAGUCCUCCAGGCCUCCCACCAGCCUCAAAGGGAUGCCAGUUCCUGAGAAAUAAAAGGUUCAGCACAAACCACCCCUGCUUCGUUGCCAUGGUUACAGUCGCUGUUGACAAACUUCCUGUUCCGGCAUUCCAGUAGGGAAUUCUCAUUACCACGGCAACCCAGACGCUCAUAGUGGAAGACGGAACC